CUUUGCUGCAGAUUGCCUAGCAUUCAAGUGCUGGAGUCUUCCUGAGCAGAUGGAAAGUUUGAACUCUUAAGAAAAAAUGUACAAAUACAUCAAAGAUAAACAAGCUGGAGGCUUGCCUUAGGCAGGAAGGAUGCAUAGAUGAUAAUGGGACUCUAUGGAAGGAAAGUGAACACUGGAGGAAGGAAGACUGCAUUAGCUGUAGCUGUAAGGACCUGGCUGAGGAGAUAUAAAAAUCUUUUGAACAUCCUCUGUACAAAAUCAUCCUCUAGUCUUAGAAAUUAAAUAGUCCUUGCAUCCUCCAUGCAUCUCUGUACACCUCAAAAACACCAGCUUCCAAGACUUGCUUGUGUGGAAUGUCUUAAAGAUCACGGGUCCCAUGUCUUCAUGUUUCUUUCAUAUACAUGAGGAGAUGAAACUACUGUAUCCCAGCAGAAUUGCUCAUAUACCAUUAUUAAGUAGGGGACUUCUGUAAGAUACAGAAGAGUUUCUAAUUAAGAGUGUUAGUUGUCCAUCUUGUUUGAAUGUUUUUGAAAGUUAUCUAAAUAAUUUCUAUGUGCCUUGUUGGACCUUUGGCUUCAAUACCGGUUGGCUUAAGAUUUUUUUACUGUAAACCAUAAAGAUUCAUCAUUUUCUAUUUUGUU